rnacentral:rRNA from 1 species
UUUGUGGAGGGUUCGAUUCUGGCUCAGGAUGAACGCUGGCGGCGUGCUUAACACAUGCAAGUCGAACGGGAUCCCUGGCAGCUUGCUGCCGGGGUGAGAGUGGCGAACGGGUGAGUAAUGCGUGACCGACCUGCCCCAUGCACCGGAAUAGCUCCUGGAAACGGGUGGUAAUGCCGGAUGUUCCACAUGAGCGCAUGCGAGUGUGGGAAAGGCUUUUUGCGGCAUGGGAUGGGGUCGCGUCCUAUCAGCUUGUUGGUGGGGUAACGGCCUACCAAGGCGUUGACGGGUAGCCGGCCUGAGAGGGCGACCGGCCACAUUGGGACUGAGAUACGGCCCAGACUCCUACGGGAGGCAGCAGUGGGGAAUAUUGCACAAUGGGCCGCCGCGUGCGGGAUGGAGGCCUUCGGGUUGUAAACCGCUUUUGUUCAAGGGCAAGGCACGGUCUUUGGCCGUGUUGAGUGGAUUGUUCGAAUAAGCACCGGCUAACUACGUGCCAGCAGCCGCGGUAAUACGUAGGGUGCAAGCGUUAUCCGGAUUUAUUGGGCGUAAAGGGCUCGUAGGCGGUUCGUCGCGUCCGGUGUGAAAGUCCAUCGCUUAACGGUGGAUCCGCGCCGGGUACGGGCGGGCUUGAGUGCGGUAGGGGAGACUGGAAUUCCCGGUGUAACGGUGGAAUGUGUAGAUAUCGGGAAGAACACCAAUGGCGAAGGCAGGUCUCUGGGCCGUUACUGACGCUGAGGAGCGAAAGCGUGGGGAGCGAACAGGAUUAGAUACCCUGGUAGUCCACGCCGUAAACGGUGGAUGCUGGAUGUGGGGCCCUUUUUCCGGGUCCUGUGUCGGAGCUAACGCGUUAAGCAUCCCGCCUGGGGAGUACGGCCGCAAGGCUAAAACUCAAAGAAAUUGACGGGGGCCCGCACAAGCGGCGGAGCAUGCGGAUUAAUUCGAUGCAACGCGAAAAAUUGACGGGGGCCCGCACAAGCGGCGGAGCAUGCGGAUUAAUUCGAUGCAACGCGAAGAACCUUACCUGGGCUUGACAUGUGCCGGACGCCCGCGGAGACGCGGGUUCCCUUCGGGGCCGGUUCACAGGUGGUGCAUGGUCGUCGUCAGCUCGUGUCGUGAGAUGUUGGGUUAAGUCCCGCAACGAGCGCAACCCUCGCCGCGUGUUGCCAGCGGGUCAUGCCGGGAACUCACGUGGGACCGCCGGGGUUAACUCGGAGGAAGGUGGGGAUGACGUCAGAUCAUCAUGCCCCUUACGUCCAGGGCUUCACGCAUGCUACAAUGGCCGGUACAACGGGGUGCGACACGGUGACGUGGGGCGGAUCCCUGAAAACCGGUCUCAGUUCGGAUCGCAGUCUGCAACUCGACUGCGUGAAGGUGGAGUCGCUAGUAAUCGCGGAUCAGCAACGCCGCGGUGAAUGCGUUCCCGGGCCUUGUACACACCGCCCGUCAAGUCAUGAAAGUGGGCAGCACCCGAACUCGUGAUUGGGACUAAGUCGUAACAAGGUAGCCGUACCGGAAGGUGCGGCUGGAUCACCUCCUUU